CAGUAGCGUAUAUUAAAGUUGUUGCAGUUAAAAUGCUCGUAGUUGAAGUUCGGAUGCAGCAGAGCUUGGAAACGCUGUUAUGGUGCUUCCGUUGCUUUUGCUUGUCCACAGUGCGUUGCAAGUACGUAUGUGCUUGUGCGUGCAUUUUACUUUGAGAAACAUAGGGUGUUCCACGCAUGUUACGGCAUGAAUAUUCCAGCAUGGGAUAAUCUGGUACGAAUUCCAAUCUGCCAUUUUGGUUCGUAGGUUGGAAGUAAUGAUUAAUAGGGACUGUCGGGGGCAUUGGUAUUUGACUGUCAGAGGUGAAAUUCUUAGAUUCGUUGAGGACCAACCACUGCGAAAGCAUUUGUCAAGGAUGUCUCCAUUAA
rnacentral:rRNA from 1 species